UACAGAGGGUGCAAGCGUUGUCCGGAAUCACUGGGCGUAAAGGGCGCGUAGGCGGCCCGAUAAGUAGGGGGUGAAAUCUUGCGGCUCAACCGCAAGGCUGCCUCCUAGACUGUCAGGCUCGAGCACGGCAGAGGCUGGUGGAAUUCCCGGUGUAGCGGUGGAAUGCGUAGAGAUCGGGAAGAACAUCGGUGGCGAAGGCGGCCAGCUGGGCCGUUGCUGACGCUGAGGCGCGACAGCGUGGGGAGCAAACAGG
rnacentral:rRNA from 1 species